CGAGGAAGGGCGUAGCAAGCGACGAAAUGCUUCGGGGAGUUGAAAAUAAGCAAAGAUCCGGAGAUUCCCAAAUAGGUCAACCUUUUAAACUGCCACGGUGUUCAUGUGUAAUAAAAAGGAAAGAAAAUAG
rnacentral:ncRNA from 1 species